AGUGAACGCUGGCGGUAGGCCUAACACAUGCAAGUCGAACGGCAGCACAGUAAGAGCUUGCUCUUACGGGUGGCGAGUGGCGGACGGGUGAGGAAUACAUCGGAAUCUACUUUUUCGUGGGGGAUAACGUAGGGAAACUUACGCUAAUACCGCACACGACCUACGGGUGAAAGCAGGGGAUCUUCGGACCUUGCGCGAUUGAAUGAGCCGAUGUCGGAUUAGCUAGUUGGCGGGGUAAAGGCCCACCAAGGCGACGAUCCGUAGCUGGUCUGAGAGGAUGAUCAGCCACACUGGAACUGAGACACGGUCCAGACUCCUACGGGAGGCAGCAGUGGGGAAUAUUGGACAAUGGGCGCAAGCCUGAUCCAGCCAUACCGCGUGGGUGAAGAAGGCCUUCGGGUUGUAAAGCCCUUUUGUUGGGAAAGAAAAGCAGCAGGUUAAUACCCCGCUGUUCUGACGGUACCCAAAGAAUAGGCACCGGCUAACUUCGUG
rnacentral:rRNA from 1 species